rnacentral:lncRNA from 1 species
UUAAUUGCUGGCUUCCACUGGUUGUAAUAUUUUGCAUUUAUUCUAUUUCUUAAGAAAUUGACAACACUGUUGUUCCACAAAGUCUUUCUCCAUUAAAGCCCCUUAUCUAACAGUAAAGUCACCACAUUGUGCCUACAGCAUUCUGACUCCUUUUCACUUUUUCCAAAGGACUCUGUAAGCACUUAAAGUAUUGACAGUAUCAUUUUUUUUCCCCAACAUUUGAAAAAUCUUCUUAAGAGCCUAUCUUUUCCACUCACUAUGUGCAGUCUUGAGUUUUCUUUUUUGCAUUCCUUUUUGAAAGGUUCCCUGGGGGAAACUACUGCUGCCUGUGAGGAAACAACAAAGCAUAUUUGAAAAGGCAGUUUUUAAUAAUACUUGGUGGUGGUGUGUUUGUGUUGUGUGUUUUUUUUGUUUUUUUUUUCUGAGCUGCAAGUGGUUUGUGCUGUGCUGAAGGUUGUCAUCAUUUUACCAGCCAAGAGAGUGGGAGCCACGUGGCAAAGAGUGUGAAGCUGCCUCCACCCUGUUCAGACACCAGGACAGGAGCCUGGAAUUUAAGAGGAAUGGUGUAUUUCAGUGUGAGCUGAGUGAAACAGCCAUUCAGAAGAAAAUUUGGGAACAGUGCUUUCAUGGUUCUGUAUCAGGAGGAGAAAUAGCCUUAACUAGAUAUGAACAAGAAGUGUGAAAACUCAGCAACUGCAAACCAGCAGCAAAGAUGGAGAGGAUGAAGACUGUUUUGAACACUUCAUCUCUGGCUUUCUUCUUUGUCAUCUCCUAUGCUUAUGUUAAAUGAGAGCUUGAUGUCUAUGAGAAAUUAAAAACAAAGUAAAUAU